ensembl:lncRNA
UAGAAAGUUCCAUGUUAUUGAUAUGUGUAAACAGAUGUUUUUUUGUAAGACUGAACGCAAAUCUUUUUAAAAACAUUGUUGCAGGUAGAUAUUUCUCUUGAGUAAACAUAAACAACAAACAGCAGUGUUUAUCUUCCUUCUGGACCGUGGAUCCUAAAAGACAUACCCAAGCAGAGUAAAAACUACUUUAUUCUUUCAUUCUCAUCAGAUGGAAACCUUGAAAAAUGUUGCACUAGUAAACAUGUUGAUCUUUAGAAAUCUCCCUUAGAAACUUGUGAUGCACAGAUUAGUGAGGUGGUCCACGGUGAACAUGGGAUCAACAUAAGUGGGAAGGGAAGAAAUUACUCAAGCCUACAUGCCCUGACAAUAAUAAUGAUAAUACCAAGAUAAAAUAAUACAGAAGUAUAUGCAUAAGUCAGCCCAUGUUCUGUAAAUGGAACAAAAUAAACCAUGCUUUAAAGUUUAUGGUAUGCUAAUCUUCGAUGGUCAGAACAAGUUGGACUUUGCUAAACGUCCUGGGUAUAUUUUGGAAAAACUUUUUCUUUACUUUGGUAGCCAUGGUAGCAGUGAGCAUCUAUGUAUGUACUGUAUAUGCCUGUAAAUAUUUAUAUAUGUGUGUGUGUGUGUGUGUGUGUGUGUGUGUGUGUGUGUGUUUAUCGAUGUAGUUACCAAUACAUAUAGCCCUUUGCACACCCUAAACGGUGAAACAGCUCUUUCCUAAUCUAAUCUUGUAUUUAUACCGUAUGAAAAAUUUAUGAGUACGUAGAUCUGCGGUGAUAUCAGAGUAUGUAACCAUGGUAACUGGUCUGUAUUCUGUUAAAGCUGUCAGUUUUACAUCUCCUAGCAACAGGAUUUAGGACACCCUGUAAUAUUCAUGUGAAGGAUAACUAUAAUAAUUAAAUCUCUCUUUUUAAUUUAAACUAGAUCUUCUCUGUACAAAUACAUAGUUACACACAUUGGCACCCCAAUUACUUUGUCUUCAUCAAUCUAUAUAAAGUAUUUACAAUAUAUUCUGCGGUGCGAAUGUAUAACAGGAUAUAGGCCUUUACAUUGUUGUUUUUUCAGGUAGAUGAUUUACAAUUACCAAACAUCCUGUAAAUCGUUCUAUGGAAGAAGCAGAUGGCAUGUAAUUUAUCUCUUAAAUCAAUAAUGUUCAAAAUAACAUCUACAUUAUGUUUCAGGUGGUGAGUAAAUUGGUGAGUUUGGGUCAAACUCAUGGUCAAAAAAGUAAUAGUCAAAUGUUAAGAGGUUUUGUCCAAAUUGAUUGAUCUCAAUCAGAAUAUAUUUUCUUUCUCAUUCCUCACAUAAAAAUGCCAUACAUUUGCUGCUUAUCAUCUCUAAAAUGCAAAUAUUGAGUUAGUCUUGGCUGCUCAAAAGACAAAUGUAUGGCAUCACUUUGGGCUUUUGGAAUUUGAUAGACCUAAUUAACUUAUUAAUCAACACAAACAAUGGCUAGAUUCAUUGACACGGAUGCAGGAAUCAUACGUAGCUGUUGGCAGGCCUCUUCCUAUAUCCCACCAAAGCGCGUUCCAUAAAUGUAAGAACCUUCCUUAAAUGUGACACCAUUCCCAAUUUCCCCAAAGGUAUUUUCCCAAAACAUGCUUAGACAUGACCGUGGACUGAUAUGUCGAUGCGGCUGACGGAGGUCCGCUGAAACAAGCUAUAAUCAUGAAACAAACACAAUGUUGUAUGAUUGUCAUCAGGAUAUGUUUUCGUGAAGCCAGUCAGGUUACUCAAGGGUGCAGCUAUAACCCAUAUCCAGUCUGUACAACUCAGGGGAAGCGACGUUAGCCAUGGCAGCCGCAAGAUGUUCAGCACUCGUGCUCCCUGAAGACGAGUGAGUGUUCCGCCUCCUCAUUUAUUCAGGCGGUCCAGAGUCUCUUGUGAUGGGUUCAGACCGUGUGCACGGGGCUUUCAUGUACUGAGGAGCAGGUUCACACAACGUUAGGGCCGGUGGGUCCCAAAAGUUCUUCCUUUCUCUUGAUCGCCACUUAUCUUGGAUUUAAAUUAACACACCUUCAAGGCUACCAGACAUCCAUGUGGGGAAUUUGCCAUACCCAGGUUUCUUUUCAAAUAAAGACAGUCUGUAAAAUACAGACUCACAAUGUGGUUGGUUCAACCGACGACAAGCACAGUUAGACUAUACCUAAUUUGUCUUUUAGGAAUGGUAUCAAAACUACGCAUCUCUGGACCUUUCCAAUAAAUAACAUGAAGAGAAUCUUUUUGGUUUGUCUUUUUUCUUUUUCUAUCCCUCAUUUGUGUUUGUGUGUGUGUGUGUGUGUGUGUGUGUGUGUGUGUGUGUGUGUGUGUGUGUGUGUGUGUGUGUGUGUGUGUGUGUGUGUGUGUGUGUGUGUGUGUGUGUGUGUGUGUGUGUGUGUGUGUGUGUGUGUGUGUGCGUUUGUCCGUGUGCAUAAAUACAAACUUGAGGAUGUUUGCAGAAUGAUGUACUCAUCCCUCUGUGUCUGGGUUUGUGUGUGUGUGUGUGUGUGUGUGUGUGUGUGUGUGUGCGCAUGCUUAUGUGCAUGUAUUUGAGGGCGUGUGUAUGAGCACGUGUGUGCAUGUGGUUGUGUCUGUGCCCCCCCAUGUGUUCAGACGAUGCUGGGAGCCGCUGGAGUUGCGGCGGCGGCUGAAGGGCAGCGUGUGAUGCAGGGGCGUGGGCGAGUCGGGGGCAGAACUGGUGGGGUGGUUGUAGGGCGGUGGGGGCGGGGGCAGCGGCGGCUGGGGGCCGUCCCCCGUGUCGCGGACGCGCACCGGGGUGGACAUGGCGGACUGGAUGAGGCGGUGGGACGCAGGCGUCUGGCUCAGGAAGGCCUCCAUCCGGCCCCGCCCGCUCUGGUCCACCACGAUCACCUUGACGAUCUGCUGGCACUGGAUCAGGGUCUCGGGGCGGAGCUCCCCGGGCUGGGCGGGGCCGAGCAGGGCCGGGGGCGCGGCCAGCGCCAGCGCGGUGGACUCAAUGCUGGGCUGGCUCAGUUGGUAUGUCUGCAGCCUGUUGUGAAUUGACACCUAGUUUAGGAACAGUCAGAGAACGCACGGGGAGUUAGCAGCCUGAACGCAGCCUCUACGAAGCCCCCUGGGGGCUGGGACGGGCAGCAUGCGUGGCGCGCACGGGAAGCACAGGCAGGGAGACAGGCGCACAGAGAGAGACAGGCGCACAGAGAGAGACAGGCAGAGAGACAGGAGCACAGGCAGAGAGACAGGGCGCGGCGUGCGUACGCACACAGACACGCACCACCGGACGCACUAGCAGAGACACAACAGCCCUUAGGGGGCGUUGCUAAGCUAACGGGGUGUUGCUAAGAUAAUGGGAGGUUGUGUAGCCACUGAGGGUGUUGCUAAGAAAAGUCGUUGCUAAACUUGCUUAGCUAAUGGCAAGCUUACUUAGCUUUGCUAGGCUAACGAGGAUUUUGCUAAGCUAACGAGGGUUGCUGCUAAGCUAACAGAGGGUUGCUGCUAAGCUAACAGAGG